GUACGCACACGCCAGACAUCUCGCCUCGCCGCUGUGGCGGAAGGCAGCCCGAGGAAUCAAAACAAACUACUCCGGGAAUUUAGCAAGUGGCUGAAUGCUGCUCUCUACCUGUAGCCAAACAAACGAGGCUGGGUGCUUGUCUCAGCGGGAGACCUCGUCAUGUCGAACACGGAGAGUAUCCUCUCACAAACCCACCUACCUAACGGCACAGUUAGCUGAGCGCACGGAGCGGCUGCUAGUCGGACGUCAGCGGGGGUCGGGUUGGUAGCUAAUGCAGCAGCUUGUAACAUCCGCCCAGUCAUUCACCUGAGAAGGAAGAGAAGCACAGUCAGCCAGCCAGCCUAAGGGAAAACAAUCUGUCUUUUCUGCACUUGGGUCGGGUUCAAUCAGCUGCACGUCGUCAGGCUAUCCACAAGGGCAACACGGAAGCAGCCAGGAUCCACGCUGAGAACGCCAUCCGUCAAAAGCAUCAGUCCCUUAACUUCUUGAGGAUGAGUGCCCGCGUGGAUGCUGUGACGUCCAGGGUCCAGACGGCUGUCACUAUGAACCAGGUGUCUAAAUCCAUGUCCGGGGUGGUGAAGAGUAUGGACGCGACACUGAAAAGCAUGAACUUGGAGAAGGUCUCUGCAUUAAUGGACAAGUUUGAAAGCCAAUUUGAAACUCUCGACGUGCAGACAGCGCAGAUGGAAGACACAAUGGGCAACACCACGACUCUGACAACACCUCAGAACGAAGUGGAUAUGCUGUUACAUGAGAUGGCUGAUCAAGCAGGUUUGGAUCUUCACCUGGAGCUGCCUUCAGGCCGUACUUCCUCACUGGCUUCUACUGUGGCCUCGACAGAGCAGGAUGAGCUCUCCCAGAGGCUGUCCAGGCUGCGAGACCAGGCGUCAUAGUGAUGCAGAAAGGGACAAGAUCCGAGGAGGGAGAAGAGGCGGGCAGGGAAAAGAGUAAAAGUGGAUAAUAAAUGGAUAAGAUUACCAGAUACUUUGAUGAGAGAGAUGUCUGCAGUGCGCCCAAGCACGCACGCUCUUCUUGAAGUCCUCGUCGUUGGGGGGGGGGUUCCCGAAAACGCCUGACCCCGCUGACCCAACAGUUGUCAGUCAUUUCCAACAGCAGUUGAAUCACCUGAAAUUAAAAUUCCACGUCCCUCUGCUAAGUGCUCCAGCUAUAAGCAAGCAGCAUGGCUACAGGAAGAGUUGUUUCGACAAGUCCGGAUUAGCGUUAAAUCUGGCACAGAUCAUGUUCCCCUGAGGCUGAGCUGUGAUGAAGUCUUGGCCAUAGUAACAGUCGAGGGAUCCAGAUCCGGAUCUUGAUACAGGAAGUUUUGAAUUUUUUUUUCUCUACUCUCUCUGAUUGCUCUUGUCGAUUAUGCUUCGACUACAUGUUUCACACGUGUAAGUUAUUUCGAGGUGAGACAACGAAGGUGGAAGGAAAAUAAGGCGAUGCGUUGUAGUUGUUGACUAGAAGUUCCUAUAUAAUGAAGAGGAAAACAGGAAAAGAGAUCUAUCAAAAUGAUUUAAGGAAUUAUAUUAUUAUGGCCAUAACAGAGGUGUGUGUGUCCGGUGUGUGUGUGUGUGUGUGUGUGUGUGUGUGUGUGUGUGUGUGUGUGUGUGUGUGUGUGUGUGUGUGUGUGUGUGUGUGUGUGUGUGUGUGUGUGUGUGUGUGUGUGUGUGUGUGUGAGAGAGUGUGUGUGUGUGUGUGAUAUGCAUAUGGUAAAACACUCUGCUGGUCUGCCGUUAGUCACACUGCCGCGUCUCAAAUUGAAUUAGCGUUGACAGCACACAGCGCCAGCCGCGUGUAUGUGUGUGUGCACUGGGGGCACUCGCUGUUGGCAAGCUGUCUGUCUGUCUGUGUGUGUGUGUGUGUGUGAAACAGAAGAGAAAGAGGGCCCUCUCCCCUGAAAUCAAUUAAGCGAGUACAGAUCUGUAGUUGUUGGGGUGAGAGGGGCACAUCCUGUAGAGGGCAGCCCAAGACAGACAGCACCAUCUGGGGCAGCAGGCGGGUUGACCCUGGGCUGAGACAUGAAAGAAGCGGGGCAGGGAUAUGAAGAGAGGCGAGUACAAGCCAGCGUUAAAUCACUCUUUUCUCUCCAGCCCAUCCCCUCACCUGCCAUCCGAUACAUCAGACAUGGAGCAUCAUUCUCACUCAAUCCCCCCCCUCCUUCUCUCUCUCUCUUUAUCUGUCCCAAGAGUGAUAACCUGUCAUACACAGGAAACAAAAAGAGGUAAGAACGAUCUAUCCCUCUGUCAGAGAUCGGCGUAUAGGGCCAAAGAGAAAAAGAAUAUCUCACAUCUCUUGUUCCAAAAGAGUUGAUUUAUAGGUUUGUAUUUAAUAAAAAACGAUGCCAG